CUACGGGGUGCUGCAGCAGGGAAUAUUGCACAAUGGACGGAAGUCUGAUGCAGCGACGCCGCGUGGAUGAUGAAGGCCCUCGGGUUGUAAAAUCCUUUUCAGGGGGAUGAGGAAGGACGGUACCCUUGGAAUAAGCGUCGGCUAACUACGUGCCAGCAGCCGCGGUAAGACGUAGGACGCAAGCGUUAUCCGGAUUUACUGGGCGUAAAGCGUCUGUAGGGGGAAUGGUAAGCUGGACGUGAAAGCUCCGGGCUCAACCCGGAGAGGUCGUUCAAUACUGCCAAACUAGAGGGCAUCAGGGAGCGUGGAAUUUCCGGUGUAGCGGUAAAAUGCGCAGAUAUCGGAAGGAACACCAAUGGCGAAGGCAGCGCUCUGGGAUGAACCUGACGCUAAGAGACGAAAGCUAGGGGAGCGAACAGGAUUAGAUACCCUCGUAGUC
rnacentral:rRNA from 1 species